rnacentral:rRNA from 1 species
AUUGAACGCUGGCGGCAGGCUUAACACAUGCAAGUCGAGCGGGGUGAAGAGCUUCGGUACUGAUCCUAACGGCGGACGGGUGAGUAAUGCUUAGGAAACUGCCAUUUAGUGGGGGACAACAUUCCGAAAGGAAUGCUAAUACCGCAUACGUCCUACGGGAGAAAGCAGGGGAUUGUCGGCCCUUGCGUUAAUCGAUAAGCCUAAGUCGGAUUAGCUAGUUGGUGGGGUAAAGGCCUACCAAGGCGACGAUCUGUAGCGGGUCUGAGAGGAUGAUCCGCCACACUGGGACUGAGACACGGCCCAGACUCCUACGGGAGGCAGCAGUGGGGAAUAUUGGACAAUGGGCGGAAGCCUGAUCCAGCCAUGCCGCGUGUGUGAAGAAGGCCUUUUGGUUGUAAAGCACUUUAAGCGAGGAGGAGGCUACCUGGAUUAAUACUCUGGGAUAGUGGACGUUACUCGCAGAAUAAGCACCGGCUAACUCUGUGCCAGCCGCCGCAGUAA